CACGUAGGGCGCAAGCGUUGUCCGGAAUUAUUGGGCGUAAAGAGCUCGUAGGCGGUCUGCUACGUCUGCUGUGAAAACCCAGGGCUUAACCCUGGGCUUGCAGUGGAUACGGGCAGACUAGAGGCAGGUAGGGGAGAAUGGAAUUCCCGGUGUAGCGGUGAAAUGCGCAGAUAUCGGGAGGAACACCGGUGGCGAAGGCGGUUCUCUGGGCCUGACCUGACGCUGAGGAGCGAAAGCGUGGGGAGCAAACAGG
rnacentral:rRNA from 1 species